GUGUCAGCCGCCGCGGUAAUACGUAGGUGGCAAGCGUUGUCCGGAAUUAUUGGGCGUAAAGGGCGUGUAGGUGGAUUCUUAAGUCGUGUGUCUAAGUGCGGUGCUCAACACCGUAUGGGCGCAGGAAACUGGGAAUCUUGAGUGCAGGAGAGGAAAGUGGAAUUCCCAGUGUAGCGGUGAAAUGCGUAGAUAUUGGGAGGAACACCAGUGGCGAAGGCGACUUUCUGGACUGUGUCUGACACUGAGGCGCGAAAGCCAGGGGAGCGAACGGGAUUAGAUACCCCGGUAGUCCUGGCCGUAAACGAUGGGUACUAGGUGUAGAGGGUAUCGA
rnacentral:rRNA from 1 species